rnacentral:rRNA from 1 species
UACGGAGGGUGCAAACGUUGCUCGGAAUUAUUGGGCGUAAAGCGUGCGUAGGCGGUCCGGCAAGUCGGAUGUGAAAGCCCUCGGCUCAACCGAGGAAGUGCAUUCGAAACUACCGGACUUGAGUACCGGAGGGGAUGACGGAAUUCCCGGUGUAGAGGUGAAAUUCGUAGAUAUCGGGAGGAACACCAGUGGCGAAGGCGGUCAUCUGGACGGAUACUGACGCUGAGGCACGAAAGCGUGGGGAGCAAAC